GAUCCAGCCAUGCCGCGUGUGUGAAGAAGGCCUUUUGGUUGUAAAGCACUUUAAGCGAGGAGGAGGCUUACCUGGUUAAUACCUGGGAUAAGUGGACGUUACUCGCAGAAUAAGCACCGGCUAACUCUGUGCCAGCAGCCGCGGUAAUACAGAGGGUGCAAGCGUUAAUCGGAUUUACUGGGCGUAAAGCGCGCGUAGGUGGCUAAUUAAGUCAAAUGUGAAAUCCCCGAGCUUAACUUGGGAAUUGCAUUCGAUACUGGUUAGCUAGAGUAUGGGAGAGGAUGGUAGAAUUCCAGGUGUAGCGGUGAAAUGCGUAGAGAUCUGGAGGAAUACCGAUGGCGAAGGCAGCCAUCUGGCCUAAUACUGACACUGAGGUGCGAAAGCAUGGGGAGCAAACAGGAUUAGAUACCCUGGUAGUCCAUGCCGUAAACGAUGUCUACUAGCCGUUGGGGCCCUUGAGGCUUUAGUGGCGCAGCUAACGCGAUAAGUAGACCGCCUGGGGAGUACGGUCGCAAGACUAAAACUCAAAUGAAUUGACGGGGGCCCGCACAAGCGGUGGAGCAUGUGGUUUAAUUCGAUGCAACGCGAAGAACCUUACCUGGCCUUGACAUACAGAGAACUUUCCAGAGAUGGAUUGGUGCCUUCGGGAACUCUGAUACAGGUGCUGCAUGGCUGUCGUCAGCUCGUGUCGUGAGAUGUUGGGUUAAGUCCCGCAACGAGCGCAACCCUUUUCCUUAUUUGCCAGCACUUCGGGUGGGAACUUUAAGGAUACUGCCAGUGACAAACUGGAGGAAGGCGGGGACGACGUCAAGUCAUCAUGGCCCUUACGGCCAGGGCUACACACGUGCUACAAUGGUCGGUACAAAGGGUUGCUACUGCGCGAGCAGAUGCUAAUCUC
rnacentral:rRNA from 1 species